GUGGGGAAUCUUCCGCAAUGGACGAAAGUCUGACGGAGCAACGACGCGUGAGUGAAGAAGGUUUUCGGAUCGUAAAGCUCUUUCGUUAGGGACGAACGUGCUCUUUGUGAAUAAUGAGGAGUAAUGACGGUACCUAAAUAAGAAGCCACGGCUAACUACGUGCCAGCAGCCGCGGUAAUACGUAGGUGGCAAGCGUUGUCCGGAAUUAUUGGGCGUAAAGCGCGCGCAGGCGGGAUAUCAAGUCUGUCUUAAAAGUGCGAGGCUCAACCUCGUGAGGGGACAGAAACUGGUAUUCUUGAGUGUCGGAGAGGAAAGUGGAAUUCCAAGUGUAGCGGUGAAAUGCGUAGAGAUUUGGAAGAACACCAGUGGCGAAGGCGACUUUCUGGACGAUGUCUGACGCUGAGGCGCGAAAGCUAGGGGAGCGAACGGGAUUAGAUACCCUGGUAGUCC
rnacentral:rRNA from 1 species